rnacentral:rRNA from 1 species
AACGAACGCUGGCGGCAGGCUUAACACAUGCAAGUCGAGCGUCCCGCAAGGGGAGCGGCAGACGGGUGAGUAACGCGUGGGAAUCUACCUUUUGCUACGGAAUAACUCAGGGAAACUUGUGCUAAUACCGUAUGUGCCCUUCGGGGGAAAGAUUUAUCGGCAAAGGAUGAGCCCGCGUUGGAUUAGCUAGUUGGUGAGGUAAAGGCUCACCAAGGCGACGAUCCAUAGCUGGUCUGAGAGGAUGAUCAGCCACACUGGGACUGAGACACGGCCCAGACUCCUACGGGAGGCAGCAGUGGGGAAUAUUGGACAAUGGGCGCAAGCCUGAUCCAGCCAUGCCGCGUGAGUGAUGAAGGCCCUAGGGUUGUAAAGCUCUUUCAACG